AGAGAGAGGCUGCCUCCAGGACCCUGGGCCCGCCUGGCAGAGGAAGGGCGGCCUCUUCCCGUAAACAGCUCCAGGGCCCUGGAGGAGUCUGCCGGCAGGGGGCGCUGUGGCCCCACGGCCUCAGACCAGC